GCGGUGGUAGUGUAGUGGUAUCACAGGACCCUGCCACGGUCCUAACGGGGGUUCAAAUCCCCCCCACCGCA
rfam:Halomicrobium mukohataei DSM 12286, complete genome.